CUGGGUAACCGAGCGCUCCGGCGCUCACCCCCACCCUGUGCUCACCCCCUCCCCUCGGCGUCGGGCGGGGUCCCCCUCGGGGGCCCCUCCGGCCGGAACCCAAACCCUGAACAACGCUGCAGCCUGAAGUAACAAGCAAAUAAUUA
rnacentral:misc_RNA from 1 species